UUAAAUUGAAGAGUUUGAUCAUGGCUCAGAUUGAACGCUGGCGGCAGGCCUAACACAUGCAAGUCGAACGGUAACAGGAAGCAGCUUGCUGCUUCGCUGACGAGUGGCGGACGGGUGAGUAAUGUCUGGGAA
rnacentral:rRNA from 33 species